ACAUGGAACUGGUUUUGCGACCGGAGGUACGGCAAUGCUCCACCUUGGCAGUGAACUGACCACAUCAGGUACUAAAGUCCAGUGCUCUAGGAACCACUGUGAGUGGGAGAAUUUAAAUGGGCUAUAAAACUGUGACAUUCAUUCAAGGCUUAGUGCAGCCAUAACUACAGAUUAACGCGCUGGCUACUUCAUCUUCAUCCUGUCAUCUCUCUGCUGCUUUAUGGGGAAAGCAGGCUGACAUGGUUAUUAAAUCUGGCAGCUGUGUUGUAUGCACAUGGGAAGCAAGUAGAGCACAGCAUAUAGAAAAUGAGUAGCUUUCAGAUAACAGCCUUCUUUUCACUGCUGCGAGGCUUGAAAGGCAGCCUAAAAAGCUCUUUCUCUUCUUUGUAAUCACCAGUCGCUGGAUCAGUGCGCAAAUAUCACAAAUACAGUUGCAAAUACCUGGACUUCUCAUUAAGAAACUCGACAGUACCUUAUUAUCAGAAGCUCAAACAAUUAGUCAUCAUAAAGGGCACCAGUAAGCCUGCAUCUGACCUGAUAAGAACAAUGAACAUAGCACGGUGAGCAAUGCAUGUUUUUCACCAAUCUCACUCUGUCUGUACAUGAAGACAAUCUUUAUGUG
rnacentral:lncRNA from 1 species